rnacentral:rRNA from 1 species
CCUACGGGUGGCUGCAGUGGGGAAUAUUGCACAAUGGGCGCAAGCCUGAUGCAGCCAUGCCGCGUGUGUGAAGAAGGCCUUCGGGUUGUAAAGCACUUUCAGCGGGGAGGAAGGCGGUGAGGUUAAUAACCUCAUCGAUUGACGUUACCCGCAGAAGAAGCACCGGCUAACUCCGUGCCAGCAGCCGCGGUAAUACGGAGGGUGCAAGCGUUAAUCGGAAUUACUGGGCGUAAAGCGCACGCAGGCGGUCUGUCAAGUCGGAUGUGAAAUCCCCGGACUCAACCUGGGAACUGCAUUCGAAACUGGCAGGCUAGAGUCUUGUAGAGGGGGGUAGAAUUCCAGGUGUAGCGGUGAAAUGCGUAGAGAUCUGGAGGAAUACCGGUGGCGAAGGCGGCCCCCUGGACAAAGACUGACGCUCAGGUGCGAAAGCGUGGGGAGCAAACAGGAUUAGAUACCCCGGUAGUC